AGAUCCCAUCAUCCAGGUGCCUGUCUACCUUACUGAGCCAGGGUUUCUCCCUGACCCCAACGAUGGCAGUCUCUACGUCCUGGGAGGAAAACACAAGGAAGGACUGAUGAAACUGCCCUUCACCAUCCCAGAGCUGGUCCAGUCUGCUCCCUGUAGGAGUUCUGAUGGAGUCCUUUACACUGGUAAGAAGCAGGAUGUAUGGUUCGUGGUGGACCCC